rnacentral:rRNA from 1 species
AGAGUUUGAUCCUGGCUCAGGAUGAACCCUUGCGGCGUGCCUAACACAUGCAAGUCGAGCGAUGAAACUUUCACCGCGUCCUUCGGGACAAGGUAAAAGUGGAUUAGCGGCGGACGGGUGAGUAACACGUGAGGAACCUGCCUUUCACAACGGGAUAGCCUCGGGAAACCGGGAUUAAUACCGUAUGACAGCUUAGUAUCGCAUGGUACUAAACUCAAAGAAUUUCGGUGAAAGAUGGCCUCGCGUCCCAUUAGCUAGUUGGUGAGAUAAAAGCUCACCAAGGCGAUGAUGGGUAGCCGGCCUGAGAGGGUGAACGGCCACACUGGAACUGAGACACGGUCCAGACUCCUACGGGAGGCAGCAGUGGGGAGUAUUGCACAAUGGAGGAAACUCUGAUGCAGCGACGCCGCGUGAGCGAAGAAGGCCUUCGGGUCGUAAAGCUUUGUCCUAGGGGAAGAUAGUGACGGUACCUUAGGAGGAAGCCCCGGCUAACUACGUGCCAGCAGCCGCGGUAAUACGUAGGGGGCGAGCGUUAUCCGGAAUUAUUGGGCGUAAAGGGUUCGCAGGCGGCUAAACAAGUCAGGUGUGAAAGGUCGAGGCUUAACCUCGGUAAGCAUUUGAAACUGUCUAGCUUGAGUUAAGGAGAGGAAAGAGGAAUUCCUAGUGUAGCGGUGAGAUGCGUAUAUAUUAAGGAGGAAUACCAGUGGCGAGGGCGACUUUCUGGCCUUAAACUGACGCUGGGGAACGAAAGCGUGGGUAGCAAACAGGAUUAGAUACCCUGGUAGUCCACGCCGUAAACGAGAAGUGCUAGGUGUCGGGAGUCAAAUCUCGGUGCCGGAGCUAACGCAUUAAGCACUCCGCCUGGGGAGUACGUGCGCAAGCAUGAAACUCAAAGGAAUUGACGGGGGCCCGCACAAGCGGAGGAACAUGUGGUUUAAUUCGAUGAUACGCGAGGAACCUUACCUGGGCUCGAACGCAUUCGGAAGCGCACGGAAACGUGCGCGCCAGCGAUGGCCGUUUGCGAGGUGCUGCAUGGUUGUCGUCAGCUCGUGCCGUGAGGUGUCGGGUUAAGUCCCACAACGAGCGCAACCCCUACUGCUAGUUGCCAGCGCGUAAUGGCGGGGACUCUAGCGGAACUGCCGGCGUAAGCCGUGAGGAAGGUGGGGAUGACGUCAAAUCAGCACGGCCCUUAUGUCCAGGGCUACACACGUGUUACAAUGGCCGGUACAGAGGGCAGCCACCCCGCGAGGGGGCGCGAAUCCCCAAAGCCGGUCUCAGUUCGGAUCGGAGUCUGCAACCCGACUCCGUGAAGCUGGAUUCGCUAGUAAUCGCGCAUCAGCCACGGCGCGGUGAAUUCGUUCCCGGGCCUUGCAAACACCGCCCGUCAAG